GGGGACCCGCACAAGCAGCGGAGCGUGUGGUUUAAUUCGAUGCUACACGAAGAACCUUACCAGGGUUUGACAUGCAAGUGGUAGGAAUCUGAAAAGGGACCGACCCUUCGGGGAGCUUGCACAGGUGCUGCAUGGCUGUCGUCAGCUCGUGUCGUGAGAUGUUCGGUUAAGUCCGCUAACGAGCGCAACCCUCACUGUGUGUUAUAUGUGUCACACGGGACUGCCGGUUUUAAGCCGGAGGAAGGUGGGGAUGACGUCAAGUCAGCAUGGCCUUUAUAUCCUGGGCUACACACACGCUACAAUGGUCGGUACAAUAGGUUGCCAAGCCGCGAGGCGGAGCCAAUCCACAAAGCCGGCCUCAGUUCAGAUUGUAGGCUGCAACUCGCCUGCAUGAAGAUGGAGUUGCUAGUAACCGCAGGUCAGCAAUACUGCGGUGAAUACGUUCCCGGGUCUU
rnacentral:rRNA from 1 species